rnacentral:tRNA from 1 species
UUGCCUGUGGAUCGCCAGCCAGUCGCGCGAUUCGUAUUCGCGCCUGCUGGCCGGUGCCACCGGCCUGGCGUUC